UAAACCUGCCAGUUAUUCAGAAUGUGUUUCUAUUCAUUUUGGACACUAGGCUACUAAGCUACAUGCUACAAGGCAACAGCAAACAUUAAGUCAAUCACAAAUGAUGGUGAUUUAAGAUGAAAAAUCCUUUCAACAACACCCUAUCUGACAAAGCAACAGCAUGUUCCUGGCUCAUUUGAUCCUCACUCUAGGGACUGGGCAUCUAAUUUAAUUAAUAAUCACCUGUUACAAUGACCAUUGAUAAUUGGAGAGCAGCAUUGGAAUGUGACAGCUUGUCUAGCUUCGACUGGUCCUAAGUUACACAAUACAAAACACAUCAUAAGUUACUUUAAAAAAUCAAAAAAAUUUAGAUUAGGAUUUUUAGCUUAAAUUUCAACUGAAGUUUUCAUGCGACCUAGGUGCUUGUGACAAUAGAAAUCAAGUUAUGAAAUCCAAUAAUGCAAGCUAUGUCUUCCAAAGCUAAAUAGUUUCUACUGUCAUUUAAUUUUUAUGAUAAAAUUUCAGGUUAACUUCCCCUGUCAAAUUGUGGUAAAUCUUCAAGAUAAGAAGAUAUUGAUGCUUUCCCAAGAUCCAACUGCUAUCUCUUCUGCAGAUAACAGCAAAAUAAUGCUGCCACUCAAGAGGUUGUGGUGACCGCCACUUAGUUCUAAUUUAGGACAAUGUGUAACAUUGAUAGAUUUUAGCUAAUAUUCGGCACUCACCCACUGGGAUAAUAUAAUCAGGAGGAUGAGGAGGGCUCUGAUGCGACUAUCAUGUUCUUCCGCUGCGACACACCUGUAAGUCACUCACCACGGGAUUGUACCCAGGUCUUUCUUGCGAGUCGCAAACGAAGUGUUGCGAGUGUACCAAAGGAAUGAAAAAGCUGCUGCAAGUCACUUUCUCGUCUUAAGAGCCCACUAGAGACUUUGGAACUUGGGGUUAACUUCUGGAGUAAAAAUCAGAUUGAAUGAGAAAUAUGUUUAAUUGGUCCAUCCAUCAAAUUGGCCUAGUAAGCUGAAGUCCUGAUGGAUUUGGUCUUUGAAUUGCUUUUAUUAUUAAUGUGAGGCUUGCUGGCUAGGAUACUGAAGAGAACAUCUGGCGGCCAGAUUUGCCAGUUGUUGUGGCGUAGUGGAAGUAAGCUAGCCUCUUAAUCUAACUUCUUCUAAGUUCUAGUCUUCUUGGUUCCCCCUUCCCUGUUUAGUUGAAGUGUGGGUUUUGAAAAUAAAAGCCGUCAUUAUUAAAUUCAAUUAUCCUAUUACCGUUCAGAAAAUGCAUCUAUGUGCUCGUAUCAUAACCUUAAUAAAAAGUCGCAUAUUAAAAAACCUA